AUAAUUAUAAGAUUAAAAUUAAAGUAAAUGUUAGUGCUUAUAAUGCCCUGAAGGAAGAAAUUAAAAUGAAAAUGAUAGGAGGGAAAAAGCUUCUCCAAAGGGACCCAUGACAUGCCUCCUCAAUAGAAGACUCAGUAUGUGAUCAACUUUUCCUUCUUCUCCUACCCAAACUUUAUUUUUACUAUUUUUCACCUGGAUCAUCAUAAUUUUUCCCAAAAAUACACAAGAAUUGUCUCCCGAAAACGUACCUUCAUGUCAAUUAACAUACCAAAAGAUCCAUCUGAAGGUUCAUCGCGAUCAGCAACCGCGGAUCAGAGCCAUCAUCCAGCACCUUUAAGUCGUUACGAAUCACAAAAACGACGCGACUGGAACACUUUUGGACAAUAUCUGAAGAAUCAAAGGCCUCCGGUUCCUCUCGCACAGUGUAACUUUAGCCAUGUUCUCGAGUUUCUUCGAUACCUUGAUCAAUUCGGAAAAACUAAGGUUCAUAUACUUGGGUGUGCCUUCUUUGGGCAGCCUGACCCUCCUGCCCCUUGCACUUGCCCUCUUAGGCAGGCUUGGGGCAGUUUGGACGCCCUAAUUGGGCGUCUAAGAGCCGCGUACGAGGAGAACGGCGGCUCUCCCGAGAAUAAUCCGUUUGGAAAUAGUGCGAUUCGGGUUUAUUUAAGGGAAGUGAAGGAGUGUCAAGCUAAGGCAAGAGGAAUCCCAUACAAGAAGAAAAAGAAGAGGAAGAAUCAAAUCAAAGCUAGUGAAGAAAUGAAGGCUCCAAAGCUGCAGGCUACUUGAACUUGCUUCAAUCUAGUUUUGUCCACACUAAAUGUCAUAUUUCAGGUAGAUGAAUUGGAUGAUGAAGUUUACAGAAGGUAGAAAUUCUAAGCUUCGGGAAUGGAGCUACAGGAUUCUCUCCUUAAGGUAUAAUUUAUAAGAACACACAUUAGAUUGCAUAUACCUUUAAAAUAAUUAAAUGUGUAGCACAUUAUGUACCUUUAGUUUCAUUGCUUUUUAAGUUAAAAAACCGUAUUUCAACUAGAACAAAAAGUCUGUAAAUCGGAGCAGUGAUCAAUCUUUUGCCACUUUUUUCAUACAUGUGUAUUGUUGAUAUCCUUUCUCUUUCCGUAGCAU
rnacentral:lncRNA from 1 species